ACACUCCUGCGGGAGGCAGCAGUGGGGAAUAUUGCACAAUGGGCGCAAGCCUGAUGCAGCCAUGCCGCGUGUAUGAAGAAGGCCUUCGGGUUGUAAAGUACUUUCAGCGGGGAGGAAGGCGAUAAGGUUAAUAACCUUGUUGAUUGACGUUACCCGCAGAAGAAGCACCGGCUAACUCCGUGCCAGCAGCCGCGGUAAUACGGAGGGUGCAAGCGUUAAUCGGAAUUACUGGGCGUAAAGCGCACGCAGGCGGUCUGUCAAGUCGGAUGUGAAAUCCCCGGGCUCAACCUGGGAACUGCAUUCGAAACUGGCAGGCUAGAGUCUUGUAGAGGGGGGUAGAAUUCCAGGUGUAGCGGUGAAAUGCGUAGAGAUCUGGAGGAAUACCGGUGGCGAAGGCGGCCCCCUGGACAAAGACUGACGCUCAGGUGCGAAAGCGUGGGGAGCAAACAGGAUUAGAAACCCGUGUAGUCCCA
rnacentral:rRNA from 1 species